ensembl:lncRNA
CUGAUAUAACAGCAGUUCAAGGCCCUUUUUUGCUUUCUGGAUUACAGGAUUACACCUCUGACAACUCAGUGAGGAGUUGCUGGCAGCAAGCAGAGCAGCACUGCCUGCAGAGGUGCUUCAUGGUCUGGUCAGCUCAAACUCAACACCAUGUGAAGGCCCAGCAGCACUGCAGGCGUGUUCGGCUGUCUCGAGCCUUUCUCAGCUGGCACCAGUGGGUCAUGGAAAAUAAGAACCAAGAAGCAGCAGCAGCACUAAAACAUGGAGUUCAUUGUGUCCAGGUGGCUUUCAGCCUGUGGAAAAGGAGACUGGCCCAGAAAGUGGAAGCUGACCGGAGAUUCAGGUGUCAUGCUCACCAGAUGACUGCUGAUGCUCUGUGGCAUUGGCACUCCUGCUGGCAAAGGAGCCGUGCUCUGGCAGAGCUGCAGCAGCAAUGGGCCUGGCACAGCUGCCAGGAGAAGAAGAGGCUGGUCCUGCACACAUGGUACUGCCAAACAAGGAAGCAGAAAUAUGCUGUUUUGUUCUGGGAACGUUUUCUCCUGCACAGGUGCCUUGUCUCUUGGGCCCAGGUCACUGCAUGUCACCUGAGGCAGCGUGAAGCCCUCUCUUAUUUUAAAAGAGUCAGAGAGCACCGACUGCUGGUUGGGAGCUUUGUUAAGUGGAGGGACAAACUCUGGAGAGCUGAGCAGGUGCCAGGAGGGAGCAAGCACAAGUGGCAGGAGCCCUCUCCAGGUAAAGCCUGUCACCGCUGGCGAGUGGCUGCGAGAGGACAGCGAGCCCUGCGCCUGGGAUCUGUGACCACUGUCAAACAAGCCUGCAACUACUGGACCAGAGCAGCUUCUUUUUCCCAGUGCUUACGGCAGCGCAGCACCCUCAUAGGUGUCAGGAAAAGCAGAAAGAUGGCUCUCUCUUGGCCCACCAAAAGCAGAAGAGGCAGAGAAGAAGAUUCAACACCAACUGGACAUUUUCCCAGUGCCAUUCAGCGCUGGCUGGUGAUCUACAGGAGUCAGAACAGGGCUGAGAGGUUUCUGGAGAGACCUGAUGGGGUAGGAGCCUCUCAUGCUCAUGCAAGGAUCCAGGAGAACACAGCACGGGUGGACUUGGAGGAGCGGGCUAAGAAGUGGCUUGGGAGGAGAUACCUGAAGAGGUGGCAGCACACAGUGGAGCUGCACCGGUGCCAGCACGACAGGAAACUGCUGUGCCUGGCAAGGGGGUGGCACCAGUGGAGGGAAGGCAGCAGGGUGGUGAUACUGGCUCAGGUGCUGCACCAGCAGCAGCUGAUGGAGAAGGCCUGGAGGGUGUGGAGACAAAGAUACUUGCAAAGCUGUGUGGUGCAGAAUCUUCUGGAGCAGGAAGCCAGGAGCCUCCUGUCUCAGGCCUUUGGGAGGUGGUGGCAGCUCACAGCAUUCCAGUGUAAGGACAAAGGAUCCCGCUGAAUGCAGGGGCUGCCUGCAGCUGCUGCUCCAUUCAGGACACGUGGAGGAUCCAGCUCCUGUCACAACAAAGAGGUGGUCCUGUGCUGCCAAAAAAGAACUCUCUGCUCUUACAAUAAAAGCAGGGCUGCCACUCGGAUGACA